CCAUCUGUAGUAAUGAAAUUAUUUACUGUUUAGAUGUUACAAUUUUUAUUUAAGUAACUGAUUUUAUACAAUUUUAUGUAGCUUGGGGUAUUUGUCAGAAACCUUAGGAAACAAAGUUUCUGAUUGAUCAAAAUUGUUUCAUUUGAAAAUUAUGAAGCGCCUAAUUUUUUAGUCGUAUGACUACCCUGGGAUAACUUCUUAAUUCAGCCUGUUUCAAUAUCUUACUCGUUUAAAAGUACAGACCAACUUGUUAGAAAUGGUCUGUUACGUUUAUUUUGCACUGUCUACUUGCUGUACUAUGUACUGUUUAUAAUACUUCAAUUAUACAAAGAAUUCAACAAUUUUUCACCAUGCUCGAUAACGCUACAAGACUCUCUCGACAGUUGAAAAGUAACGGAUGUAUAAGAAUUUGAAUUGUACUACGUACAUAAAAAUAUAUCUACGUAAAUAAAUAAAUGAUGCGCAUAUAUUCA